AAACGACUCUCGGCAACGGAUAUCUCGGCUCUCGCAUCGAUGAAGAACGUAGCGAAAUGCGAUACUUGGUGUGAAUUGCAGAAUCCCGUGAACCAUCGAGUCUUUGAACGCAAGUUGCGCCCGAAGCCAUUAGGCCGAGGGCACGCCUGCCUGGGCGUCACACGCCGUCGCCCCCCCAACCGAUCCCUCGGGAUUGCGGGGGGGCGGAUGAUGGCCUCCCGCGCGCCCCGUCGCGCGGUUGGCAUAAAUGCCCAGUCCUCGGCGGCGCACGCCACGACAAUCGGUGGUUGCGAGACCUCGGUUGCCCGUCGUGCGCGGUCGCCGCGCAUCGAGGGCUCGAAAAAACGCCCGGCUCCGGCUCGGCUUUCAACGCGACCCCAGGUCAGGCGGGGUUACCCGCUGAAUUUAAGCAUAUCAAUAAGCGGAGGAAAAGAAACUUACGAGGAUUCCCCUAGUAACGGCGAGCGAACCGGGAACAGCCC
rnacentral:rRNA from 1 species